UACGAAGGGUGCAAACGUUGCUCGGAAUCAUUGGGCGUAAAGCGCACGUAGGCGGCCUAUCAAGUCGGAUGUGAAAGCCCUCGGCUCAACCAAGGAAGUGCAUCCGAAACUGGCAGGCUUGAGUAUGUAAGAGGAUUGCGGAAUUCCCGGUGUAGAGGUGAAAUUCGUAGAUAUCGGGAGGAACACCAGUGGCGAAGGCGGCAAUCUGGGACAAUACUGACGCUGAGGUGCGAAAGCGUGGGGAGCAAACAGG
rnacentral:rRNA from 1 species